rnacentral:rRNA from 1 species
AACGAACGCUGGCGGCGCGUUUUAAGCAUGCAAGUCGAACGGUAGGGAGGUGCUUGCACCUCCUGAGAGUGGCGAACGGGCGAGUAACGCGUAGGUGAUCUACCAUUUAGUUGGGGAUAGCUCAUGGAAACAUGGGAUAAUACCGAAUGAUCUCUGCAAUCUUGUUUGUAGAGCAAAGGGGCGUUUGCCUCGCUGAAUGAUGAGCCUGCGUAUGAUUAGCUAGUUGGUAAGGUAAUGGCUUACCAAGGCGACGAUCAUUAGCCGGCCUGAGAGGGUGACCGGCCACAUUGGGACUGAGACACGGCCCAG